CAGCUGACCUUACAAAAUUUUGGAAAGUCCGUUUGGAGACAACACUCCAUGAAGCUGAGGUACUAAUCUAGGAUAUGUUGUGUGCUCUGAAGCAGGACUGAUCAUUCCAAAGCUAGAAUAUAUGAAUCUGCAAAGUGUCAUCAUCCAGUCGGCUGAGCUCACAGAGGAAGAUCACUCUGCCGGUCUCAAGAACUUGUCAAUGGGCUGCAAUAAAUAUUUCAUUCAGAAACAACAAAAAUCAACCAGCAAAGUUAAGCAAGAUUCCAAAAACCUUCCUUUGAAGUUCUCCAAGGCGAUUAUUGAUUUCCGAGAACAUACAAGGAAAGUAUGAUUUGUGAGAGACUCUUCAAUACUGAAAACAAAUGGAGGGCUGAAAAGGG